rnacentral:rRNA from 1 species
UACGUAGGGUGCGAGCGUUGUCCGGAAUUAUUGGGCGUAAAGGGCUCGUAGGCGGUUUGUCGCGUCGGGAGUGAAAACACACAGCUUAACUGUGUGCUUGCUUCCGAUACGGGCAGGCUAGAGUUCGGUAGGGGAGACUGGAAUUCCUGGUGUAGCGGUGAAAUGCGCAGAUAUCAGGAGGAACACCGGUGGCGAAGGCGGGUCUCUGGGCAACAACUGACGCUGAGGAGCGAAAGCGUGGGGAGCGAACAGG